UACAGAGACUGCAAGCGUUAUUCGGAUUCACUGGGCGUAAAGGGUGCGCAGGCGGCCAAGUGUGUUAGGUGUGAAAGCCCGGGGCUUAACCCCGGAAUUGCACCUAAAACUACAUGGCUAGAGCAUUGGAGAGGGGAGCAGAAUUCACGGUGUAGCAGUGAAAUGCGUAGAUAUCGUGAGGAAUACCAGAGGCGAAGGCGGCUCCCUGGACAAUUGCUGACGCUCAGGCACGAA
rnacentral:rRNA from 1 species